GAUGAACGCUGGCGGCGUGCUUAACACAUGCAAGUCGAACGGGAAUUACUUUAUUGAAACUUCGGUCGAUUUAAUUUAAUUCCAGUGGCGGACGGGUGAGUAACGCGUGGGUAACCUGCAUUAUACAGGGGGAUAACAGUCAGAAAUGGCUGCUAAUACCGCAUAAGCGCACAGAGCUGCAUGGCUCGGUGUGAAAAACUCCGGUGGUAUAAGAUGGACCCGCGGUGGAUUAGCUUGUUGGUGGGGUAACGGCCCACCAAGGCAACGAUCCAUAGCCGGCCUGAGAGGGUGAACGGCCACAUUGGGACUGAGACACGGCCCAGACUCCUACGGGAGGCAGCAGUGGGGAAUAUUGCACAAUGGGGGGAACCCUGAUGCAGCGACGCCGCGUGAAGGAAGAAGUAUCUCGGUAUGUAAACUUCUAUCAGCAGGGAAGAUAGUGACGGUACCUGACUAAGAAGCCCCGGCUAACUACGUGCCAGCCGCCGCGGUAAGAC
rnacentral:rRNA from 1 species